AUGGGUUCUGUCUGGCAGGUUCCCCUUCAGCCUGAAGGAUUUACUUUAACAUUUCUUGUAUGUUUAUUUUUAGACAUUGUUUUCGUCAUGAUUAAAUGAAGCUUUCCUAUUUAUCAAGGAUGUUAUUUAGGAGGAUCAAAUAAGAAUAGAAUUUUGUUGAACCUAGGUUGCAAUUCUUGGAUGGUAGAA